GUCUAUGGCUAUCCCAUUCUGAACAUGUCUAAUGUCAUCUGAUUUCAGAAGCUAAUUAGAGUUGGGCCUUGUGAGGACUUAGGUGAAAGACAAAGGGUAAGGAGAAACAGGAAGUAAACAUGGUCA
ensembl:rRNA 5S_rRNA 5S ribosomal RNA